AACGAACGCUGGCGGCAUGCCUAACAUAUGCAAGUCGAACGAAACCUUCAGGUCUUGUCGCGCCCGGCUUCGUCACCCGUGGGAACCUGCCCUUAGGUUCGGCCUAACUCCCCGACAGGGGUGCUAAUACCAGAUCAUGUCUUCUGACCAAAGAUUUAUCGACGUUGGAUGUGCCCGCGUUGGAUUAGCUAGUUGGUAGGGUAAUAGCAUACCACGGCGACGAUCCAUAGCUGGUCAGAGAGGAUGAGCAGCCACACUGGGACUAAGACACGGCCCAGAAUCCUACGGGAGGCAGCAGUGGGGAAUAGUGGAAAAUGGGGGAAGGGAUGAACCAGCAAUGCCGGGUGAGUGAUGAAGGCCGGAGGGUUGUAAAGUUCAUUUAACCGGGAUGAUAAUGACAGUACCGGGAGAAUAAGCUCCGGCUAACUACGUG
rnacentral:rRNA from 1 species